rnacentral:rRNA from 1 species
AUGAAACACUCCUACGGGAGGUAGCAGUGGGGAAUCUUCCGCAAUGGGCGAAAGCCUGACGGAGCAAUGCCGCGUGAGUGAAGAAGGCCUUCGGGUUGUAAAACUCUGUCCUAGACGAAGAGAGAGUGUUGUAGUAACUGACAAUACUAGGACGGUAGACUAGGAGGAAGCCCCGGCUAACUAUGUGCCAGCAGCCGCGGUAAAACAUAGGGGGCAAGCGUUGUCCGGAAUCACUGGGCGUAAAGGGCGCGCAGGCGGUAAAUUAAGUCAGGUGUGAAAGUUCGGGGCUCAACCCCGUGAUUGCACCUGAUACUGAUAAACUGGAGUGUUGGAGAGGUAAGUGGAAUUCCUAGUGUAGCGGUGGAAUGCGUAGAUAUUAGGAGGAACACCAGUGGCGAAGGCGACUUACUGGCCAAUAACUGACGCUGAGGCGCGAAAGCGUGGGGAGCAAACAGGAUUAGAAACCCUGGUAGUCCGAAGUUC